UCAGGACGAACGCUGGCGGCGUGCUUAACACAUGCAAGUCGAACGAUGAAGCCCAGCUUGCUGGGUGGAUUAGUGGCGAACGGGUGAGUAACACGUGGGUGAUCUGCCCUGCACUCUGGGAUAAGCCUGGGAAACUGGGUCUAAUACCGGAUAUGACCUCUUGCUGCAUGGCGAGGGGUGGAAAGUUUUUCGGUGCAGGAUGAGCCCGCGGCCUAUCAGCUUGUUGGUGGGGUAAUGGCCUACCAAGGCGACGACGGGUAGCCGGCCUGAGAGGGCGACCGGCCACACUGGGACUGAGACACGGCCCAGACUCCUACGGGAGGCAGCAGUGGGGAAUAUUGCACAAUGGGCGAAAGCCUGAUGCAGCGACGCCGCGUGAG
rnacentral:rRNA from 1 species